rnacentral:rRNA from 1 species
AGUCGAGCGGUAGAGAGAAGCUUGCUUCUCUUGAGAGCGGCGGACGGGUGAGUAAUGCCUAGGAAUCUGCCUGGUAGUGGGGGAUAACGUUCGGAAACGGACGCUAAUACCGCAUACGUCCUACGGGAGAAAGCAGGGGACCUUCGGGCCUUGCGCUAUCAGAUGAGCCUAGGUCGGAUUAGCUAGUUGGUGAGGUAAUGGCUCACCAAGGCGACGAUCCGUAACUGGUCUGAGAGGAUGAUCAGUCACACUGGAACUGAGACACGGUCCAGACUCCUACGGGAGGCAGCAGUGGGGAAUAUUGGACAAUGGGCGAAAGCCUGAUCCAGCCAUGCCGCGUGUGUGAAGAAGGUCUUCGGAUUGUAAAGCACUUUAAGUUGGGAGGAAGGGCAGUUGCCUAAUACGUAACUGUUUUGACGUUACCGACAGAAUAAGCACCGGCUAACUCUGUGCCAGCAGCCGCGGUAAUACAGAGGGUGCAAGCGUUAAUCGGAAUUACUGGGCGUAAAGCGCGCGUAGGUGGUUUGUUAAGUUGGAUGUGAAAUCCCCGGGCUCAACCUGGGAACUGCAUUCAAAACUGACUGACUAGAGUAUGGUAGAGGGUGGUGGAAUUUCCUGUGUAGCGGUGAAAUGCGUAGAUAUAGGAAGGAACACCAGUGGCGAAGGCGACCACCUGGACUAAUACUGACACUGAGGUGCGAAAGCGUGGGGAGCAAACAGGAUUAGAUACCCUGGUAGUCCACGCCGUAAACGAUGUCAACUAGCCGUUGGAAGCCUUGAGCUUUUAGUGGCGCAGCUAACGCAUUAAGU